UGGAGGAAAGUAGGGGAUCGCAAGACCUUGCGCUUUUGGAGUGGCCGAUGCCUGAUUAGCUAGUUGGUGGGGUAAGGGCCUACCAAGGCAACGAUCAGUAGUUGGUCUGAGAGGACGACCAGCCACACUGGGACUGAGACACGGCCCAGACUCCUACGGGAGGCAGCAGUGGGGAAUUUUGGACAAUGGGCGAAAGCCUGAUCCAGCAAUGCCGCGUGAGUGAAGAAGGCCUUCGGGUUGUAAAGCUCUUUCAGUCGAGAAGAAAAGGUUGUGACUAAUAAUCACAACUUAUGACGGUAUCGACAGAAGAAGCACCGGCUAACUACGUGCCAGCAGCCGCGGUAAUACGUAGGGUGCGAGCGUUAAUCGGAAUUACUGGGCGUAAAGGGUGCGCAGGCGGUUUUGUAAGUCAGAUGUGA
rnacentral:rRNA from 1 species